rnacentral:tRNA from 2 species
UGGGGAUUAGCUCAGCUGGCUAGAGCGCCUGCCUUGCACGCAGGAGGUCAUCGGUUCGACUCCGAUAUUCUCCACAA